GACGAACGCUGGCGGCGUGCUUAACACAUGCCAGUCGAACGGAAAGGCCCUGCUUUUGUGGGGUGCUCGAGUGGCGAACGGGUGAGUAACACGUGAGUAACCUGCGCUUGACUUUGGGAUAACUUCAGGAAACUGGGGCUAAUACCGGAUAGGAGCUCCUGCUGCAUGGUGGGGGUUGGAAAGUUUCGGCGGUUGGGGAUGGACUCGCGGCUUAUCAGCUUGUUGGUGGGGUAGUGGCUUACCAAGGCUUUGACGGGUAGCCGGCCUGAGAGGGUGACCGGCCACAUUGGGACUGAGAUACGGCCCAGACUCCUACGGGAGGCAGCAGUGGGGAAUAUUGCACAAUGGGCGGAAGCCUGAUGCAGCAACGCCGCGUGCGGGAUGACGGCCUUCGGGUUGUAAACCGCUUUCGCCUGUGACGAAGCGUGAGUGACGGUAAUGGGUAAAGAAGCACCGGCUAACUACGUG
rnacentral:rRNA from 1 species